rnacentral:misc_RNA from 1 species
GAUGAAGAACGCAGCGAAAUGCGAUAAGUAAUGUGAAUUGCAGAAUUCCGUGAAUCAUCGAAUCUUUGAACGCACAUUGCGCCCCCUGGUAUUCCGGGGGGCAUGCCUGUUCGAGCGUCAUUUCACCACUCAAGCCUGGCUUGGUGUUGGGCGACGUCCCCUUUGGGGACGCGCCUCGAAACGCUCGGCGGCGUGGCACCGGCUUUAAGCGUAGCAGAAUCUUUCGCUUUGGAAGUCGGGGCCCCGUCUGCCGGAAGACCUACUCGCAAGGUUGACCUCGGAUCAGGCAGGGAUACCCGCUGAACUUAAGCAUAUCAAUAAGCGGAGGA